rnacentral:lncRNA from 1 species
CGCUUUUUAAAACGCUUUUUUUAGUUGGGUUAUCGGGUCGGGUCGGGUUAUUGGGUUGGGGCAACCCAUUACCCAUGUGAAAUAACUUAAAGUAUUUUUAUUUCCCUUCCUACCCCUCCAAUUUCUAUCUAACUAUAUAAACCCAAUACCCUUCUAAUAAAACCCUAAUUUCCUUUAUCUCUCUCACUUUUAUUUCUUCCAAAACCCUAGAGCCGCCGGCUAGAUGAUUAGUUUAAAUGACUUGUAAAUGUUUUUCAAAUAACUUGGAUGAUGUCUUGAAUAUUUUCAGGUUUAUAUAUAUUUUAAGUUUUAUCAUAUAUUUACAGGUUAAAAAAAAAUGUAUAUAAACAGGGGUAUAUAUAUGCAAUUUUUAAAAAAUUUACAUUUAUUUACGAAAAUGCCAAUACCGCUUUUUCAGCUUUAAGCGCGCUAAAGCGCUCAAAGCGGAAAAAGCGGACCAGGAAAAAGCUGACCGCUUUUCCGCUUUUUGAACUAUGA